CCUACGGGUGGCAGCAGUGGGGAAUAUUGCACAAUGGGGGAAACCCUGAUGCAGCAACGCCGCGUGGGUGAAGGAGCGUUUCGGCGCGUAAAGCCCUGUCAGCGGGGAAGAAGAAAGACGGUACCCUACCAAGAAGCCCCUGCUAACUACGUGCCAGCAGCCGCGGUAAUACGUAGGGGGCGAGCGUUAUCCGGAAUUACUGGGGGUAAAGGGAGCGUAGGCGGAGUUUUAAGUCAGCGGUAAAAUGUCCGGGCUCAACCCGGACCGGCCGUUGAAACUGGGGAUCUUGAGUGGGCGAGAAGUAUGCGGAAUGCGUGGUGUAGCGGUGAAAUGCAUAGAUAUCACGCAGAACUCCGAUUGCGAAGGCAGCAUACCGGCGCCCGACUGACGCUGAGGCACGAAAGCGUGGGGAUCGAACAGGAUUAGAUACCCUGGUAGUC
rnacentral:rRNA from 1 species